UUCCUAGUAGCUCAGUUGGUAAAGAGUCUGUCUGCAAUGCAGAAAAUCCUGGUUCAAUUCUUGGGUCGGAAG
rnacentral:tRNA from 1 species